rnacentral:rRNA from 1 species
GGGCCCGCACAAGCGGUGGAGCAUGUGGUUUAAUUCGACGCAACGCGCAGAACCUUACCAACCCUUGACAUACUUGUCGCGGAUUCCAGAGAUGGAUUCCUUCAGUUCGGCUGGACAAUGUACAGGUGCUGCAUGGCUGUCGUCAGCUCGUGUCGUGAGAUGUUCGGUUAAGUCCGGCAACGAGCGCAACCCACGUCCUUAGUUACCAGCAUUUAGUUGGGUACCCUAAGGAGACUGCCGGUGAUAAGCCGGAGGAAGGUGUGGACGACGUCAAGUCAUCAUGGCCCUUACGGGUUGGGCUACACACGUGCUACAAUGGCAUCUACAGUGAGUUAAUCUCAAAAAGCUGUCUCAGUUCGGAUUGUUGUCUGCAACUCGACAACAUG